rnacentral:tRNA from 1 species
GUUUCCGUAGUGUAGUGGUCAUCACGUUUGCUUUACACGCAAAAGGUCCCCAGUUCGAAACUGGGCGGAAACA